ensembl:ncRNA H40L08.5 ncRNA
UGUACAGCUAGUCGAGUUUUCAAUUGUUGCGUUCUCUCAUUUUUCUUUCUUGAAAAGACGCCGGUGGGCUUUGGUUGCCAGGUGCCCGUCAAAUUUCGUAUAU